UUUUUUUUUUUUUUUUUUUUUUUUUUUUUUAGUAUUUUUACUUCUUAGAUCUACCUUCCAAUUGCAGGCUAUUCAACUGCAGCAUCCCUAGGUGUUUCACAAAACCUGCUUUUCACCUCUGGCCCACUUAGAAACUCAGUUCCCUCCCUUUCCUGACAAAGUUCAAUUUAUGUAACCAUUGAUACUCAGCCCAGAAUGUCCAUUUUAUAACUGAUCUUUCUGGAUGGUUAUGGUUAAAUUUACAACCAGGUGCUUACUAUAUAUUUCUCUGUCUCAGUAGUAUUUGCCUGGCCUUUUAAAAUGUAAAGUUUUUCGUAUGUGUGUGUGGUAGGGGUGGGAGGGAUUAUGUCUUCCUAGAGUCCAUUGAUGAUUUACGUGAAAUAACUUAAAAAUUAAAAAAAUCUAUGAACUUUCCUAUGAUUUUUGUCUCUGACACCAUCUUACAAGACCAAUUCUACAAUAGCAACAUAUUUUUCAUUUAGGAGAUUAAAACUUUUAAACAUCAUGUCACCUGAGUUGCUUUUCAAAGAUAAUAUGAUAUACCAUAAAUAAAAUAAGAUUAUUAUUUUGCAUAUUUCCAAGUUCCCUAUUAUAAUUACUGGAAAAGUAACUAUUUUAAUUACUGUACAAAUGUCUUUGCAAACACUUUCUUGGAAAAUAGAGUUUUCUAGCAAGACUAUAAAUUUCAAUCAUACUUGGAGGAGGAAUGAAGACUUAUUUAGUUAAUAAAUCUGCAUGCAUCACAUGUAGCAGUUUGUUUUCUUUUACCAUCAACAUGCAAUUCAUUUUUUUUACUGCCUGGAAGUUAUUGACAAUUUUAAAGACAUUUUGCCCAGGUGUAAGCAAUCAGAAUUUACUACAGACUGUGAAUCAAGGAAAUACACAUAAAUUAAAUGUAAUGCAACUAAGUCAUGGAGCUUAAAUCUGAAUAAACAGAUAUUGAUCGAGUAUUCUGAUGGCAUCUACAAGUACAAUUCUAGAUGUAAAAAUUAAUAAUAUAUAAUGUUUCAAAAUGCCUUUUAAAAUUGUCCGUUAUAAAAUUGAAUUACCUUGGUACAUUUACUGAAGUAUUGCCUGUGUCCUUAUUAAUAAAAAAAAUUGUGUUUUAUUUUCCCAAAUGAAAUACAUAGUAAUCAUUCUCACUCAUAAGAGUUAUUUUCUUUAUGAGUAAUUAUAUCCAUGUUUGUCUUGUCUUUUAAAACAAUGUUGAAUAAAACAUUGAGUUAAUAUAAA
rnacentral:lncRNA from 1 species